rnacentral:rRNA from 1 species
UCCCAGACUCCUACGGGAGGCAGCAGUGGGGAAUAUUGCACAAUGGGGGGAACCCUGAUGCAGCGACGCCGCGUGGGUGAAGGAGCACCUCGGUGCGUAAAGCCCUAUCGGCAGGGAAGAAAAGCGAACAGGUUCGCCUGGACGGUACCUGACUAAGAAGCCCCGGCUAACUACGUGCCAGCAGCCGCGGUAAUACGCAGGGGACAAGCGUUAUCCGGAUUCACUGGGUGUAAAGGGAGCGUAGACGGCCAUGCAAGCCUGGAGUGAAAGCCCGGGGCCCAACCCCGGGACUGCUCUGGGAACUGUGCGGCUGGAGUGCGGGAGGGGCAGGCGGAAUUCCUGGUGUAGCGGUGAAAUGCGUAGAUAUCAGGAGGAACACCGGCGGCGAAGGCGGCCUGCUGGACCGCGACUGACGUUGAGGCUCGAAAGCGUGGGGAGCAAACAGGAUUAGAUACCCUCGUA